rnacentral:tRNA from 1 species
GGGAGUGAUGGUCGGGGGAUCUGAUUUGGGAUCAGAGGGUCGUAGGUUCGAAUCCUAUCGCUCCGACCA